rnacentral:rRNA from 1 species
GACGAACGCUGGCGGCGUGCUUAACACAUGCAAGUCGAACGGUAAGGCCCUUCGGGGUACCCGAGUGGCGAACGGGGGGGUAACACGUGGGUGAUCUGCCCUGAACUUCGGGAUAAGCCUGGGAAACUGGGUCUAAUACGGGAUAGGCCAACUGCCGGCAUGGGUGGGGGUGGAAAGCUUUUGCGGUGUGGGAUGGGCCCGCGGCCUAUCAGCUUGUUGGUGGGGUGAUGGCCUACCAAGGCGACGACGGGUAGCCGGCCUGAGAGGGUGACCGGCCACACUGGGACUGAGAUACGGCCCAGACUCCUACGGGAGGCAGCAGUGGGGAAUAUUGCACAAUGGGCGCAAGCCUGAUGCAGCGACGCCGCGUGAGGGAUGACGGCCUUCGGGUUGUAAACCUCUUUCAGCACCGACGAAGCGCAAGUGACGGUAGGUGCAGAAGAAGGACCGGCCAACUACGUGCCAGCCGCCGCGGUAA